rnacentral:rRNA from 1 species
UACAGAGGUCUCAAGCGUUGUUCGGAUUCAUUGGGCGUAAAGGGUGCGUAGGCGGCGCGGUAAGUCGGGUGUGAAAUCUCGGAGCUUAACUCCGAAACUGCAUUCGAUACUGCCGUGCUUGAGGACUGGAGAGGAGACUGGAAUUUACGGUGUAGCGGUGAAAUGCGUAGAUAUCGUAAGGAAGACCAGUGGCGAAGGCGGGUCUCUGGACAGUUCCUGACACUGAGGCACGAAGGCCAGGGGAGCGAACGGG